UACGUAGGGGGCUAGCGUUGUCCGGAAUCAUUGGGCGUAAAGCGCGUGUAGGCGGUCCGGUAAGUCCGCUGUGAAAGUCGAGGGCUCAACCCUCGAAUGCCGGUGGAUACUGUCGGGCUAGAGUACGGAAGAGGCGAGUGGAAUUCCUGGUGUAGCGGUGAAAUGCGCAGAUAUCAGGAGGAACACCAAUUGCGAAGGCAGCUCGCUGGGACGUUACUGACGCUGAGACGCGAAAGCGUGGAGAGCAAACAGG
rnacentral:rRNA from 1 species